CUUGAAGGAAACUUCAGAGCUUCAAGCAAGCAGAGCUUGCUUGAUGGAGGGGAGCGGCAGACGGGUGAGUAACGCGUGGGAAGCUACCCAUCACUACGGAACAACUCCGGGAAACUGGAGCUAAUACCGUAUACGUCCUUCGGGAGAAAGGUUUAUCGGUGAUGGAUGAGCCCGCGUUGGAUUAGCUAGUUGGUGGGGUAAUGGCCUACCAAGGCGACGAUCCAUAGCGUGUCUGAGAGGAUGAUCAGCAACAAUGGGACUGUGACACGGCCCAGACUCCUACGGGAGGCAGCAGUGGGGAAUAUUGGACAAUGGGCGCAAGCCUGAUCCAGCCAUGCCGCGUGAGUGAUGACGGCCCUAGGGUUGUAAAGCUCUUUCGCAGGUGAAGAUAAUGACGGUAACCUGAAAAGAAGCCCCGGCUAACUUCGUGCCAGCCGCCGCAGUAAAAC
rnacentral:rRNA from 1 species